AAUUUAUAUAUUAAAAAAAAAAUCUUAAGGCUGUUUGAAUGUUGCAGAUACAAAUCUGCAGAAAUCCAGGUAAGUUAGGCAAAAAAUAUAGAAACCACAACAAAGGUUUGGAUCACUUGUUUAAUAUACAAAGUCUUUCUUUCACAGGUAAUUAUUUUCUUUUCCUUAAUUUGUCUUAGUACACAUUAUUCACAAAACAGUAAAUUGUUAAUGCAAGAGAAUUAGGUAGAACCAAAAAAGUACAAAUGCUCAAUCCCCAAAAUUGCACACAGUUAAAAUAAUUUUUCCUUGUUUGUUUUAAUGCAGUUUCAAAUGGGCUUUCUUCAGAUGUGGAGGAAACACUGCAGCCCAAAAUAACAGUACUUCCUUUCAACUGUAUUGGUAGGUAAAAUAGCACCUUUGGGCUGACUUAAGGAAAGAAAACUAAUUUUCAUCUUUCUUAAUUAAGGUGUGAGUCCUACACAAUUACCGUAUGACAACUACAAUAAUGAUAAGUUUUAAGAGCUCUACUUUGUUCCAAAAUAUUCAUUGGCAUGGCAAGGAAAGGUAAAUUGUGUCAGGCAGAUGCAAAAAUCUUCCUCCCCACCUCACCUCCAUGACAAUUAGAGUAUCUUAGUGAUGUCAUUGCUCUAAUGAGCUAGUUUUCCAGCCAAAAUAAAUAGAUGUUUUAGGGACCUUCUGCAAAACAAGAUAAGUGUGACCAUGUGGCCAUCUCUCUGGAACUAUAAUCACAUGUAACAGCAGCUCGGAGUGAGAAUAAAUAGAUGUUUUAGGGACCUUUUGCAAAACAAGAUAAAUGUAACUAUGUGGCCAUCUCUGGGACUGUAAUCACAUGUAACAAGCUCGGAGUGAGAUUUAAUCCUAGGGCAUUUUGAAAGACUCCUUCAGAGUAUAUACCUGUCUUCCUUUUAUUUCUCCAUUGCUUUAUGUCCCAAGUCGAUGGGAACAUUUUUGUUUUGUUUUUUUACAUUUUGUUUGUACUUAAGUUUAAUUGCCCUUUGGGCUUCAGUUUAAAAAAAAUACUGGAUUUCAUAUCUUUACAAUUUAAUCUUUGAUCUUACACAAUUAGAGUGACAAUUCUUUAAAAAAUCAACAGCAUAAAUGUACGUUUUCUGGUAUUGAUAAUACCACAGAUUCAUGAUGAUAAAAAGCCAAGGUUUUAGCAGAACUAUAAGUUUAUUCUUCAAUUUCAGUUCUUUGUUUCAAUUGCAUUUUAUUUCUUACAUAAGCAGGUGAGCAUGCUUCAAAAAAUUGCCAUUCCGGAGAGCAGUUUUUCUUUUUGAAGGGUAUAUCCAGUCCACAAAAGUGUUGUCACAAAGCCAAACCCGGUCAUCGAAAGGACAAAUGUACCGUUGCCACACAGAACAUAAAGAAAAGAAUCAACAUUAGGUUUUAAAUGCACAUAGUUAUUUCAGAUGGUUUGAACUAUCAGCAGCCAUUACGGGAAAACUUCUAAAGAUUUAAAUUUGGGAGUUCAGUGUUUAAAAAAGAAUAGCAGAAUAAUGUUGACUUUUAAUGUGUUGGGGAGCUAUAUUAUUUUCUCAUUUCAAGAAAGUCAAAGCCUAUUCAAGUUCAUUUUGAGAAUUUACGUAUGGUUUUACAACACCGUGUCAUUUUUUAUCAUUAAUACAGUAAUGCUUAUAUUUACUUUUCAUACUAGAAUUUCUUAGUGUUCAGUAUGCCCCUUAAUAAAUUAUUAUUUAUUAAGCCAAUCGUCUUCCACUGUGAAAUUAUGCACUUACCUAUAUUGCUAAAGUUCGGACAGAGUUUAAAUGGUAUUUUAUGGUAUAAUUCAGGUAAAUAAUCCUUUUCCUUACAGAGCAAACAAAAGAGAAAUCAACAUUUCUUUGUUUGCUGGUGGCUAGAUUUUGUUCCCUCAGGAAUAUUUGUAAACAGUUGUUGCCAUUGCUAAACCUCAGGAGAAAUGGAUUAGUGAAAUGCUUAGGAAAAUUAUCAGAAAAAAACGAGUCACGUUUAAUCCCUCGGGUGAGGUGCCGUGAUUAAAUCACCUAAAGCUUCAUCACCCGUGAGCGUAUUCAUCGUAAACCUUGAAAAUGGAAAUUUAAGGAGCUAAUGCAAAGUCCAGGUUGUUUAAGCUUCCUAUGUUUUUAAUUACACCACUAUGUCUUUAUUUGUGCAGAAAUUUUGGUCCAGUUUAGUUGCCUCAACUUAGUUUUUCCUGUGCCUUCAUUCCGCGCUCCUACAGCAAGUUUUAAGAAAGAUGGGUUUUAAACCUUUUGUUUCCUGCCUGACUGAAUACCUUGCCGUUUUUCUCACAUAUAUACAGGAACAAACACAUGCCACACACACACGAAGUUGAUACUGUUGACCUUUGCUUUAUUUCUAGGAACUGGGACUAUCUGGACUCAGUGUCAGCCACUACUCACAUCGUGUCAACCUUCUCCUCAGUAAAAGGUGAUUUAUUUCUCUUUUCUUUCCCUACGGUAACCUGUGAGGAAAAAGCCCACUGACCAUUACAAAGUGCAUCAGUGUGAUACCCAGAUUUGUGCAAUGCGAUACCCAUGCUUUGGUUCUGUGGCCAUCACGGUUGCCUUUUCACAAUAAUAAAUACGACAGCUAGCAAAAAUAAAUCACCUCGUUUUAUGUAAGACACCUCUCUUUGACAGGCCACUAUAUUUAUAGUCAUUAAUCUAGCUCACUGCUAUGUCAUUCACACUUCAGUUUUACAUGAAUAUGCAAAGAAUACAAUAAUCAACUGAACUGUCAAACCUAAACAAUUCAAUUUAUUACUUAUCACAGAAUCUGUUGAAUAUUUUUGCGUCCCAGCUGAGCAAGGGAAAUACUGUCAGCUUUUUAAAAUACAGUCUAAAUGCUUGGUCAUAACUACUCAUCAUCUGUCAAGUUGACACCUCAUAAAAAAAAAGCCAUCAAGAACCUACUGUGAUCAUCAGAUACUACAUCAGAUACUUACUUCGACAUGUAUUCCUUACAGGACAAGAGGAAAUGGCCUCACGCUGCAGCAGGGGCUGGAACCCACAUCCAAAGAACUCGCAAGCAGGAACAGUGAGUGUGGGCCACAUGCAGUGAACCCGUGACGUCUCCCGCUGAAAUGUAACUAUGGGAUUGACAGCUCUGAUUGCAGGACAUUUGGAGCACAUGUUGAUCUGGAGUUGGGGGAAGUAGUCAUUGACAUGCAGGGCAGGAAAGAUAACACUGCAAGCAAGUGGCGGUCUUACUGAAAAGUGGUUUACAAAUUUUCCCAAUAAGAAGAGGAAUACCUGGGAACAUGGAAUCAAUGGCUUCAUUUGCUACCACCCUUGGCAUCCAGAACUACUGAGUAAUGGGUAUUACCUGGACAAGGAGGGAAUAAUAAUACAGAUUCUUCCGCUCUGGGAGUCCUUAUAAGUAGAAGUAGUUUUCAGCCUUGGCUGUCUAACAGAAGCCUCUGGGCAGGUAAGGUCCCAGCACACAUACCACCUCACUGACUCCAUCACCGAGAGCACACUUGGUCCGUGAUCCAAGCACGUCUGCUAAAAAUGAGGGCCCUGCCACUACGUGCUGUGUGCCCUGGGCUGGGUUACUUUAAUCCUCUGUCCUUCCAUUUCCUUACCUGUAAAAAGGUGAUAAGAAUAGUAUCUACAGCAGCCACUAUGGAGAAAAGUAUGAAGUUUCCUCAAAAAACUAAAAAUAGGGUUGCCAUAUGAUCCAGCAAUCCCACUCCUGGGAAUAUAGCUGGAGAAAAUGCUAAUUCGAAAAGACACAUGCACCCCAAUGUUCACUGCAGCACUAUUUAUAAUAGCCAAGCCAUGGAAGCAACCUAAGUGUCCACUGACAGAUGAAUGGAUAAAGAAGAUGUGGUACAGAUAUACAAUGGAAUUAGCCAUAAAAAAGAAUGAAAUAAUGCCAUUUGCAGCAACAUGGAUGGACCUAGAGAUGAUCAUACUAAGUGAAGUAAGCCAGAAAGAAAAAGACAAAUAUCAUAUGAUAUAUGAUUAUAUGUGGAAUUUAAAAAGUGAUACAAAUGAACUUAUUUAUAAGACAGAAACUGAUUCACCGUCAUAGAAAACAGAAUUAUGGUUACCAUAUUUUAUCUAUGAAAUCGAUAAACAACAAGGUCCUACUGUACAGCACAGGGAACAAUAUUCAAUAUCCUGUAAUAAACCAUCAUGAAAAGAAUGUGAAAAAGGAUACGUAUGUAUAUGUAUAACUGAAUCACUUUGCUGUACACCAGAAACCAGCACAACAUUGUAAAUCAACUCUACUAUACUCCAAUUAAAAAAAGAACAGUACGUACAUUACAGGGUCAAGUUUAAGUGAGUUAAUGCACAUAGUGAGAAGGGCAUUAGGCACUUGGAAAGAAUUCAGCGAACAGUUAUCAUAACUUGGACCUUGCAGCACCACAGCACCUCAGCCAGUUAAGACUCUGGUUGCUUUUACCUUCAUGUUGAUACCAUCACUGGAGGAUGAGGAAGGGAUGAGUUGGGAUUUGGUCAUUUUGCAGAAUUAAGGCAGUCGAAGCGCCCCACCCCCAUCUGUUUUCCAAGUACAAAUAGAUUUUUCUGAAUAUUGACUCUCAUAGCAGAGAAAUACAGUUUGUUUGUGUUAACUGUUUAUACAAAGAAGGGCAAGUGGAUGAAUUACUGUGCAUAUCCUAGGUGGACUCUCUUGUUGAAAGACUGCACAACAAUACACUCUUUACUGUUAGGACUGGAGAAUAUAUCACAGGUUGCAGUGUAUGUCCCAGUAACUUCUCAUUCUUUUUGUCUGGAAAUUCAAAUCAAAAUGUUAUGUUAAAGCCACCUAAAGAAAUACUGUUUUCGGUGACAGUUUUCACAGAAGGUUAAAGGGACUCAAAUAUUCCACAUAAACCACAGCACUGACGCGAGCAUGCGGUUAUAACUGUGUCUUCCCCGAGUAACGUAAUCCACGAGAGGCAGCCUGGUGGGAAACGUGCCCCAGGGCUGCUGUUCUGCCUUCGGGGUCGCAAAACCCAAGCAGCUACCUGAGAAUGGAUAAGUGAAGAAAUGGCUCUUUUUCCUCAAAGGUUAUGCUGAAAAUAUCAUGUGGAACAUUCUGGAAGCACUGUGAGUGUGUCACUGCUUCAGGCAUGUUGAACCAGUGGAGAAAUCUAGGGUGCUGAGUCCAGGGGAUACUUAAUUAUAGGCUGAGACUUCAAAAAGAAAACAGGAAGACAGUUGGGCUACAUCUCAUAAGGUGGUACGUCACCUCUUCCCCACAGAGUCAAGCCCUCGCCUCGGACUCUGGGACUCGCCCUGCCGUCCACAGUGUUCUCCCCAGAAGCCUGUUUCUCUUUAGUGAGUAUCCACAGUGCACAUGGGGUGUUCACAGGCCAGGUACCAACUUGUGCCUCAAUGAUCAUAGCCUUGCGCUUGAGGAGAAAUUGCCUGUGUGCUAAGUAGAACCAGAGACUGGGAAAUUAGAAGACUUUAAAAAGACUCAGUUUUGAAUUUGGAAUUAACAGACACACAACUAUAUAUAAAAUAAACAAGGACCUAUUGUAUAACAUAGGGACUGUAUUCAAUACCUUGUAAUAACCUAUAAUGGAAAAGAAUCUGUAAAAAGAACAUAUAUAUAUAUAUAUAUAUAUAUAUAUAUAUAUAUAUACCUGAAUCACUUUGCUGUAUACCUGAAACAUUGUAAAUCAACUCUACUUCAAUAAAAAAAUAUAUAUGUUUAAAAAAAGACACAUUUUACCUCCUCAUUUUCUAGAUGAAGAAACUGAGGCCAAGAGAACUGAAUUGAUUUACCCAGGGUAAUACAGUAAGUUGUUAGUAGAUUUUUUUUCCCUAGCUUUAUUGGGUAAUAGAUUUUUAUCAUUCAGAAGCUAAUUGCUGAAGCAUCACAAAGUAUCGGAUAUUUAUUCUAGGUGUCAGGGAGCAAGGUAGUCAAGACUUCUUCUUUUAUGAAGUUUACAUUGGUGUCAUAAUUGUGGAUUUUUCUGUAUUUGUUGGAACAGCGGACUGUAUAAUCGUCCAUCAAUCAGAUAUAAUGGGCUUUCGUUUCAUAAGCGCUUGUAUCCCUUUCCCAGCUGUCUUUUAUUGUGUGUGUGUGUGUGUGUGUGUGUGUGUGUGUGUGUGUGUGUGUGUGUUUUCUGUACUUAUCUUUCUAAAAUAUUCCUUUGGGUGGCAACAAAGAAAAAGAGAAGUUUCUCCCCGGAAUCGCUGCGGUGCAGUAGUGCCAGCCUGAUUCUAACGACAGCCCACGGUCAAUGCUUAUUUUCAUGUCUGAACGUUGUAUAUAAUGUAAUUGGGUUGAGUUUUUUUGUUGUCUUUGUUUUUGUUGCUGUUGUUUUUUACUCUCAGAGUAUUUUAGUCAGAUAAAAAUUUGAAAUAAAUCAGAUAAAUAAAUAUAUGGUCUCCUCAGCUUGAAUGGCAGCUAAUGAAGGUUUAAUCUCUCUCAAUAUUGAUUCACAUUUUGCAGAUAAUAAUACAAAUAAAACAAAUAGUGUUUUAGGUAAUAUAUUUUAAAAUCAGUUUUAUCAGUACUUUGACAUCAAGCAUAAUUAAUUGGCUCGAUAUAUUACCUUUGAACUUGUUUUUGGCAUUUUAUCGACUGACCCUUUGCUAAGAAUUUUGUCCUAAAACUGAAGACUUUUUAUUAAAGAGAAGAGUUCUUCAGACUUUUCAGGGGUAGAGGCACACCUCAGAGGUGUUGUGGGUUCAGUUCCAGACUGUCACAAUACAGUGAGUAUCACAAUACAGCGAGUCACACAAGUUUCUUGUUUCCCAGUGCAUAUCAAAGUCAUGUUUACACUAUACUGUAGUCUAUUAAGUGUGCAAUAGCAUUAUGUCUAGAAAACAAUGUACAUACUUUAAUUAAAAAAUACUUUAUUCCUAAAAAAUGUUAACUAUCAUCUGAGCCUUCAUUGAGUUUUAACCUUUCUGCAAUAGUAACAUCAAAGAUCACUGAUCACAGAUCACCAUAGAAAUAUAAUAAUAAUGAAAAAGUGUGAAAUAUUUCGAGAAUUUCCAAAAUGUGACUCAGAGAUAGGAAGUGAGCAAAUGCUUCUGGAAAAAUGUUGCCAGUAUCGUCACAAUCCCUCAAUUUGUAAAAAAUGCAGUAUCUGUGAAGUGCAAUUAAGUGAAGCACAAUAAAAUGGUUUGCCUAUAUAUAAAUUCCCUAAGUUGUAUGUAAAAUGCUGUGUGUAUUUCCUUUUUCUGGGGAGAAGUCUGUA